GAGGGUCUGGGAGUAUUCUUGCAGCUUUUAGCAAUAUUUUCUUUUACCUGAGGGCCAACCAGGUGUUGGUGGUGGGAUAGAGGACAUGGGAUGGCUCGCUGGCUCUAUGAGACAGAAUGAGGGGUCUAAGUGGAGACAAGAGUGGGGAUGAGCAGGGAGCUGACGACUCAGGAUGUUUCUAGGCUUUGGGCCAAGACGUCCAGGGGCUGGAGCCAGGAUCAUAGUUAUGGAGACCCAAGAUGAAUAGCAAUGAACUUGACGGAUUUCAUAUCUUAGAGGGAUGAACCUGGAGCCCAGAGAAGGCAGCUCUGGCCAGCUAGGGAAGGGUCUUCUUGGCAGUGACAGUGACUUAAGACUUUAUCCAGUGGACAAGGAUAUCCAUGAAAGGUUUAAGUGGGAGAAUCGAACAGUCACAUUUCUAAUGUAGAAAGAGCUCUCUCAUGGCACCCGGUAUGUGGCCUGAUGGACAGCAAGCCUGAAGGCAAGGAGGGCAGCAAGGAGACUGCUGCUCUGAUCCAGGUUGGUGGCUGAGCAGGUGGAGAGAAGAUUCAAGCCACCCCAGGUCCAGCCCCUCCAUCUCUCCCUGCACAGCAGCCUCCCCAGGGCCUCCCCGCCUCCACCACACUCUUCCCGGCCUCCUGCGCACUGCAGCCCAGCGAGACCCACAGCGCCUUUGAAGACAAGACUGGGUUCAUGUCCAAUGCCUGGUGGCUUCGCGUUGUACCCAGAAGGACAUGGGACUCUGUGCCAGCGGUACCAGCCCAUGUGGGACUCUGCCUAGGUCCCCAUCUUACAUCCUUCCCUCCAUCUCUCACACAGGCUCCCCUCCACUCUUCACUCCAGGCUUUUGCACCUGCCAUUCCUGACACUUGGAGACCCUCGCCCCAGGGCUGCUGGGGCUCCUUAAGAAAAAAAAAAAAGACUUUAAAUUUG